rnacentral:misc_RNA from 1 species
UUUCCGUAGGUGAACCUGCGGAAGGAUCAUUACUGAGUUAGGGUCUUUAUGGCCCGACCUCCAACCCUUUGUUUAAUCUACCAUGUUGCUUUGGCAGGCCCGCUUAGAAAUGGGCCGCCGAAGACCUUUGAGUCUCUGGUCAGUGCCUGCCAGUAGCCUUUCUAAAUUCAUUUAUAACCGUGUCUGAAUAUACAAAGAAAAAUUAAAAUAAAACUUUCAACAACGGAUCUCUUGGUUCUG